rnacentral:rRNA from 1 species
AAUCAACGCUGGCGGCGUGCCUCAGACAUGCAAGUCGAACGAUUAAACUUUCCUUCGGGAAAGAUAUAAAGUGGCGCACGGGUGAGUAACACGUAAGUAAUCUACCUUCGAGUGGGGAAUAACGUUCGGAACGAACGCUAAUACCGCAUAAUGCAGCGGCACCUAAUGGUGACAGUUGUUAAAGGAGCAAUUCGCUUGAAGAGGGGCUUGCGGCAGAUUAGCUAGUUGGAAGGUAAUGGCUUACCAAGGCUACGAUCUAUAACCGGUCUAAGAGGACGGUCGGUCACACUGACACUGAAUAACGGGUCAGACUCCUACGGGAGGCAGCAGUCGGGAAUUUUGGGC